GAUGAUUUCUGUUUUCGUUUUACCCGCCGCGGCGCGUCACUUUUCUGCUAUUGUUGAGCCGUGCGGACGUAAAUUUAAAGGGAAGUAUCUGAUGCUGUAAAAACCGAAGGGUCCACUAAGAAGACCUAUAUAAGUACAAUAAGAAACUGCUUUCGGGUCCAGAAAGGUCGACUGGCAAAGCAGAAGUUCGAUAAUAAGGACAAACUAGAUAAUAAGACAUAGCUUUAGAUUUAGAUGUAGAUAGAUAUAAUAAAAUAGUAAUAAUACAUAGUUUAAGACUAUACAUUUAUUUAUAGAUAUUAAGAAAUAAUAAAUAAUAAUUUUUAAAAAUUAAAACAAAAAAUACUGCAUUACUCAAGCGUUUCUAUCUUUCAAUUAGUAAUCAAUUAUUUCUCCAAUUACAUUGCAUUAAGAAGUAAGCCAUUUUAUAUAGUGGGAAAAUGGGUUGCAGGUAUAUUGUGUUGUAAUGUACGCACAUUACUAACCCAUAAGCGAUUUUGAAAAUGUAUAAGGCGUUUUCUUCAGGUUGCGGAAUUUCUACAUUACAAUAUUUAAAAAGUAUACGCAUGGGUAAUGGAGAGCCGAAGGAAACUUCGUCACCUCAUUACUUUCUGCAUUACAAAAUUCAAUAAUUUCAUGCACCCGGGAGAAAAAGCGGCCAUUCCUUAAAAAAGUAAGGCAGCUUGUAAUCGAUCUUUUCAUGCACACAGGCGACAAGUAAUCCAUGAGUAAUGGACAAAA